rnacentral:rRNA from 1 species
UACGAAGGGGGCUAGCGUUGCUCGGAAUGACUGGGCGUAAAGGGCGCGUAGGCGGUUUGUACAGUCAGGUGUGAAAUUCCCGGGCUCAACCUGGGGGCUGCACUUGAUACGUAGGAACUGGAGUGGGGAAGAGGGUCGUGGAAUUCCCAGUGUAGAGGUGAAAUUCGUAGAUAUUGGGAAGAACACCGGUGGCGAAGGCGGCUCACUGGUCCGGUACUGACGCUGAGGUGCGAAAGCGUGGGGAGCAAACAGG